rnacentral:rRNA from 1 species
CCUACGGGAGACAGCAGUGAGGAAUAUUGGUCAAUGGGCGAGAGCCUGAACCAGCCAAGUCGCGUGAAGGAUGACGGCCCUACGGGUUGUAAACUUCUUUUGUCAGGGAGCAAUUGGGUCCACGCGUGGGCUUAGCGAGAGUACCUGCAGAAAAAGCAUCGGCUAACUCCGUGCCAGCAGCCGCGGUAAUACGGAGGAUGCGAGCGUUAUCCGGAUUUAUUGGGUUUAAAGGGUGCGUAGGCGGAAUAUCAAGUCAGCGGUAAAAAUUCGGGGCUCAACCCCGUCGUGCCGUUGAAACUGAUGUUCUGGAGUGGGCGAGAAGUAGGCGGAAUGCGUGGUGUAGCGGUGAAAUGCAUAGAUAUCACGCAGAACUCCGAUUGCGAAGGCAGCAUACCGGCGCCCAACUGACGCUGAAGCACGAAAGCGUGGGUAUCGAACAGGAUUAGAUACCCCGGUAGUC